GGGGAAUAUUGGACAAUGGGCGGAAGCCUGAUCCAGCAACGCCGCGUGAGGGAUGACGGCCUUCGGGUUGUAAACCUCUUUCAUCACAGACGAAGCCUUUGGGUGACGGUAUGUGGAGAAGAAGCACCGGCCAACUACGUGCCAGCAGCCGCGGUAAUACGUAGGGUGCGAGCGUUGUCCGGAAUUAUUGGGCGUAAAGGGCUCGUAGGCGGUUUGUCGCGUCGGGAGUGAAAUCCAUGGGCUUAACUUAUGGCUUGCUUUCGAUACGGGCAGACUAGAGGUAUGCAGGGGAGAACGGAAUUCCUGGUGUAGCGGUGAAAUGCGCAGAUAUCAGGAGGAACACCGGUGGCGAAGGCGGUUCUCUGGGCAUGUCCUGACGCUGAGGAGCGAAAGUGUGGGGAGCGAAC
rnacentral:rRNA from 1 species